AUGCCGGUUAUGGACGCACGGAUGAGGCUGAUAAUCCAGGCAACAACACUGAUUAGUGUGAUUCAGGCAUGGGUCAUGUUCAUGCACCAGAGAGCUGUUCGUCGUGCUGGGAGACCAUUGAUCCGCUAUGGUCCAUUGUUUCCCCGGGAACAGGAGAGGAUCCAAAAUCUGAACUACAUCUACAACUGCAAUGACGUCGAGGCUCUGUGGAUGCUUAGAAUGAAAAGAGCACCAUUUGCCAGGCUUGUCGAGACCUUCAGGAGCAGGGGCCUGUUACAAGAUAGCAUCAACACCAGUGUCGAAGAGCAAGUGGCCAUGUUCCUCCAUGUUGUUGGCCAUAAGCAGAGGUUCAGGGUCAUUCACAACACGUUGAGGAGGUCAAUGGAGACCAUCUCUAGGUACUUCAAGUAG
rnacentral:rRNA from 1 species